UACGGGGGGAGCAAGCGUUGUUCGGAUUUACUGGGCGUAAAGGGCGCGUAGGCGGCCACCGCAAGUCGACUGUGAAAUCUCCGGGCUUAACCCGGAAAGGUCAGCCGAUACUGCGGGGCUAGAGUGCAGAAGGGGCAACUGGAAUUCUCGGUGUAGCGGUGAAAUGCGUAGAUAUCUGGAGGAACACCGGUGGCGAAGGCGGCAUCCUGGUUGGAUACUGACGCUGAUACGCGAAAGCGUGGGGAGCAAACAGG
rnacentral:rRNA from 1 species